rnacentral:tRNA from 1 species
GGAGAGGUGUCCGAGUGGUUGAUGGUGCGGCUCUUGAAAAGCCGUGAGCGCAAAGCUCCGUGGGUUCGAAUCCCACCCUCUCCGCCA